AAUGGCACAUUAACAAAAUUCCAAUAAUGAAUAUGAUGGUGACAAAGCAGAGAGAAAGCACAAACAAUAGGAGGAAAUGUUGAAAGAUUCCCUUUCAUCUCCUAACGGCAGUCUGAGGCUGGACAUGUCUACUCCUGGGAAUAGAAUCCAAGGGCAAAAGUCCCUCACGAUAAGGAGGCCACAUUUUGAGCUGAAACGUAUGAACACCACAGCUUCAGGGCCAGGCAAAGUUGGGUUUGUGUCCCAGCAGUACAACUCUCCAGACUUUGAGCCUCACUCUCCUCUUCUAUACAAUGGAGCCAAUGACACCUCUUUCCUGUGUAUUAGAAACACCACCUAAGAAGAUGUAGAUAAAGUGACUGCAAGGUAAGAAUUCCAUAAAUAUUAACUCCCCUCCCCACCAUAUCAGAGAACCCUAAAGUUGAGAACUGCAUUUCUGUACAUAUCACUAUAUUAAAAACCUAAAGGGGAAAAAAAUGGACUAUUCUAGUGACUACUUGUUCAUCUCCCACUCAAAUGCCAAAAAAUGUUUUUUCAAGGGAAACAAAAUAGUAGGAAAAGGAAGGAUGCUUUAAAAAAAAAAAAAAAAGUCUCUCUUCUCCCUUGCCCUAAAAAAAAAAAAAAAUGGUUU